rnacentral:rRNA from 1 species
CCCAUAGAUGUUCUGGGCCGCACGCGCGCUACACUGAACAGUUCAACAAGUCUUAACCUUGGCCGAUAGGUCUGGGUAAUCUUUGAACGCUGUUCGUGAUUGGGAUAGACCUUUGCAAUUAUGGGUCUUCAACGAGGAAUUCCUAGUAAACGCAAGUCAUCAGCUUGCAUUGAUUACGUCCCUGCCCUUUGUACACACCGCCCGUCGCACCUACCGAUUGAAUGGUCCGGUGAAAUCUCGGGACGGCGGCUUGGUCGCUUGCGUCCGACUGCUGAAACUUGAUUAAACCAUAUCAUUUAGAGGAAGGUGAAGUCGUAACA